ACACGCUUCCCCACUGAGGGAAGACCAUGUGACUAUACAACAGGAAGGUAGUUGUUUACAAGCCAGGAAGAGAGCCCUCACCAGAAACCAAAUUGGCUGGCGCCUUGAUCAUGGACUCCUGGGCUCCGGAACUGUAAGAAAAUUUGUGUUGUGGAAGCCACCCAGCCCAUGGUAUUUCGUUAUGGCAGCCUGAGCAGAGGUGGUAGCUAUGUGGACAGUUUUUGGACUUCUCUAUUGUUGCCCUUCAUCACUCAGCAGUGAAGAAUGAAAAUCAACAGAGCUUUCCCCAGCCUGCUGCUUAAGCAGCUGCUAGCAGGCUGAGGCUGCCCAGCCUCAUUAACCCAUUAGAUGCUGCGUUCGCCCGGGAGUCAUUCUUAAUGAGGCUGCUGCAGAGACGGCGUUUCACCAUGUUGCCCAGACUGGUCUCGAACUCCUGGCUUCAAGUGAUCCUCCUGCCUCAACCUCCCAAAGUGCUGGUAUUACAGAUGAGAAAACAGAAGCAAAGGCAGAAAGAUGCUACAUUGCCAGCUUUGAAGAUGGAGGGAAGAGGUCACAAACCAAGGAAGGCAAUGAGGACGUUGCACAAGACAGUCCCUGAUACCCAGAGUUUACUGCCUAAGAGAGGAUACAUCCUUCAAACCAAUAAUCUGCUAAUAGCAAGAUCCAAUAGCUUCAUGGAUAUUGAAAGAAACUGAGAAUCAAAUUUGCAUACUUCUGAGUCACUUGGAAACAAAAAACAAGUACAGUCUUAGAUUCUGAGGGAACAAAAAUUAAAAAUCACAUUAGGAAGAGAAUUCCUAAUGUAGGAACUCAUCCUGGAAGAUUCUUCAGCAAAAGUACAGACAAUAAUAAUAAUACUCCAUGAAGUUACCAUCGAUAUUGAAUGAAUUAAUGAAUGUAAAAACCUCAAAACCCUGCCUGGCCCAGAGCUUUGGAAUGGGUUUGGAUCUACCACUCAACUGCUUUAUGACUUCAGACCAGUUAUUUAAAUUCCCUGAAGCUCAGUUUCCACAUCUUUGAGUUUUUAUUAAUGACCUGCCGACAUCAUACAGUUCAUGAAAUGCUCUGGAUGUGUACAUGCUGAUGAUACGACCUCAGACCCAGCAAGAGCUCAGUGCAGCCCGGAGAGCUGUGAGCAGUGCCACAGGAGGAGAUGACUGGUGAGUGAAAUAAGCAAGAUAGGAGUUGAAGUGUACAUGAAGCAGAGUCCAAGCCUUCUCCUUCUGGAUGUUCAGCUGGAUCAUCCUGACUGCUCCCACUUUCAUCUUGGCUUUCAAAGGCAAGAGGAAAUUAUAAGGAAUAUUCUGAGUGGCUUUCAUCCAGGAGUUCUGUGGGACCCGCAACACCUGGAUGGUAGAUGCAAACAGAUAAAGAAUAUUGGUCACCAAAAGGAGUUCUUUUCAUCAUAGAUCUCUGAAGGUAGACACCUAUUUGCAGACUUCUCAAAGGGCUAUAUGGAUGUGCUCUACUUGUUGGAGGAUUGUCCAUCCACUCUUCUUCCUGUACUUACCAGGACAGAACAGCCGCAACUUCUCAGACAGUUCAUUCUUCUUUUCCUCACCUACUACCAUCUAAGAAAGGUACUUGAUGACUGUGGCUUUAGACAAGAGUCCUUUUCUUACCACAGGGUGGGCAGCACCAGCUCAUUAGAACCAUUUGUGUGACUGACUGAAGACAGCUCACCUUGGAACACUGCAGAAUAUGGCGUAAGUGACAUUUUACAAGUUCCAGAGCCUGGGACUCAAGAUGUCUUGGAGAUUCUGUCUUUGCAGUCUUAUAAUGAUGCCCUGAGAUCAUCAUUAAAGAAAGCCAGUCUGGCCUACUGAGGAUGAGAAGCUACAUAAAGGAGAAUGAAGAUUCCCCAGCCAACAGGCAAUAUCAGUGGUCAGAUAUGUGAAUAAAGCCAUGUUGAACCUCUCGGCUAGACGACCCUCCAGCAUAUGAAACCAGCAGAUGAAUAUCCCAGCCUGCCUGAAGAACUGUACAGGAAAUAAGAAAUCAUUGUUUUUUAAGCCACUGGGUUGGUGGGUGGUUUGUUACAUUGAAAUUGUUAACUAAAACAGAAAUUGGUGCAUAGAGGUCAGGUGCUGUCAUAAUAAAAAUCUAAAACAUAUACUGUUGGCUUUGGUGAUGGGAGUGAUUGGUAGCUAAAGAGGCAGUGAAACAAUGAUUAGUAGAUACUGGGAAGUUAAUAAGGAAAUUUCUAUUGGAGGGUGGAGAAAGGGCCACCCUUGUUAUAUAGUGGCCAAAGAAUCAGCAAAAUGUUGCCUGCUGCAACCUGGAAAGUAGAAACUUUUCUUAAACUCACGGAUCUGGCUGGGAGAUUUCCAGGAUGCAUGCAACAAAUGUGAAUCAACUUUGUAUAGCUGUGUAUAAUAAAGUGUGCUGUAUUUGUCCAUUCUGAUGCUGCUAAUAAAGACAUACCUGAGACUGAA
rnacentral:lncRNA from 1 species